CACGUAGGCGGCUUCUUAAGUCAGGGGUGAAAUCCUGGAGCUCAACUCCAGAACUGCCUUUGAUACUGGGGAGCUCGAGUCCGGGAGAGGUGAGUGGAACUGCGAGUGUAGAGGUGAAAUUCGUAGAUAUUCGCAAGAACACCAGUGGCGAAGGCGGCUCACUGGCCCGGUACUGACGCUGAGGUGCGAAGCGUGGGGAGCAACA
rnacentral:rRNA from 1 species